UGGGUUGUAGCUCAGCAGUAGAGUACUUGCCUGGCAUGUAUGAGGCACUGGGUUUGAUCCUCAGCAGCAUGC
rnacentral:tRNA from 1 species